rnacentral:rRNA from 1 species
UACGGAGGAUCCGAGCGUUAUCCGGAUUUAUUGGGUUUAAAGGGUGCGCAGGCGGGAGAUUAAGUCGGCGGUGAAAUUUUGCAGCUCAACUGUAAAAGUGCCUUCGAAACUGGUUUCCUUGAGUGUGGAUGAAGUAGGCGGAAUUUGUGGUGUAGCGGUGAAAUGCUUAGAUAUCACGAGGAACUCCGAUUGCGCAGGCAGCUUACUAAACCACUACUGACGCUCAUGCACGAAGGCGUGGGGAUCAAACAGGAUUAGAUACCCGGGUAGU